rnacentral:lncRNA from 1 species
AGAAAUGGAAAGAUACUUCGUGCUCAUGGAUUGAAGAAUUAACAUAGUUAAUAUGUCUGUAUUACCUAAAACAUAAUGAGUGUAAUCCCUGUCAAAAUCCCAAUGAUGGGAGUUCCCAUCAUGACUCAGUGGUAACAAACCCAACUAGUAUCCUUGAGGUUGUGGGUUUGAUCUUUAAGGGUAUGAUAACUCCUUAACCUCACUCAACGGGUUAAGGAUCUGGCAUUGCCAUGAGCUGUGGUGUAGAUUGCAGACAUGGCUCAGAUCCCACAUUGUUGUGGCUGUGGUGUAGGCCGGCAGCUACAGUUCCAAUUCGACCCCUAGUCCAGGAACUUCCACACACCAUGGGUGCAACCCUGGGGAAAAAGAAAGAAAAAAAAUAGUAUCUUUUACAGAAAUAGAAAAAAAAAAAUCUUAAAAUCUACAUGGGACCACAAAAGACCCUGAAUAGCCAAAGCACUCCUGAGAAAAAAGAACAAAGUUUGAGGGAUCACAGGCCCCAAUUUCAAACUAUAUUACAAAGCUAUAGUAACCAAAACAGCAUGGUAUUUCCCCCCAAAAAAGAUACAUAGAUCAAUAUAACAGAAUACAGACCUCAGAAGUAAUCCCACACAUAUAUGGACAAUUAACUUAUAAUAAAGAAGAAAAAAUAUACAACAGAGAAAGGAUAAUUUCUUAAGUAAAUGUUUUUGGAAGAACUGGACAGCCAUGCUCAAAAAAUAAAACUAGACCACUAUCUCACACCAUACACAAAAUCAACUCAAAGUGGAUUAGACUUGAAAGUAAGACCUAAAACCCUAAAGCUCCUAUAAGAAAAGGUAGGCAGUACGCUCUGACAUUGGUGUUACCAAAAUCUUCCUGAAUGUCUCCUCAGGCAAGGGAAAUGCAAAUAAAAAUAAAUAAAUGUGACUACAUCAAACUAAAGAGCUUCUGCACAACAAAGAAAACCAUCAACAAAACAAAAAAACCUGCAAAAUAGAAGAUAUUUGCAAAUCAUAAGUCUGAUAAAGGGUUUAUAUUCAAAAUAUAUAAAGAACUCAUAGAACUUAACAAAAUUUCCAGUAAAAUAAACUAAAAGAACUCCCUAUAUCAUCAAAUUGACAUGAACAAUAAACUUGUUUUAAAAAGUAAAAACUCAGGAGUUCCCUUCAUGGCACAGUGAAAAUGAAUCCGACUAGCAUCCAAGAGGAUGAAGGUUCCCAGGCUAGGGGUCGAAUCAGAGCUGUAGCCUCCGGCCUACGCCAGAGCCACAGCAACGCAGGAUCCGAGCCACAUCUGCAACCUACACCACAGCUCACGGCAACGCCAGAUCGUUAACCCACUGAGCAAGGGCAGGGACCGAACCCUCAACCUCAUGGUUCCUAGUCGGAUUCGUUAACCACUGUGCCACGACGGGAACUCCAGAAUACUAUCUUAUUAAUAGUGAUUGCUAUGAAUGUUCUGGGUUCAUUAGCAACAAAAUAACUCUGCAAACAAUCAAGUUAUGACAGUUUUACAUCAGCGUUACUAGAUUUUUCCAACAGAAAAUCAGUUAAUUGAUAAUCAUUUGAUUUUGUUUUUAACUCAAUUCAUAGGAUCAAAGUAAAGCUUUUGAAAGUUUAUCCUUCAGAGGCGAAAUUUCUGAUAUUACUAUAAACACUAUUGUAGGUUUAAAAAUUCAAUGAUAAUAUGUUUUCUUGUGCUUAUACAGAUACAAGUUUUAUUGGACCAUGAGUGUUGUAAUAAAAAAUAAUUUAUUAAAACAAAUAAAGGGCACAAAAUGUUUUUAGAAUUGAUAAUAAUAAUUUAGAAUUGAUCCAUAAUAAUCCAUAAUUGUUGCCCAGUCUGAUAUAUUUUACCAAUUAAAUUGAACCUAUCAUUAUCAACUGUCACAUAUAUAUGUGAAUAAAUGAAUGUAAAAGUUUUGUGAAGGAAAUAUCUUUUAAUGAUAUUGGACAUAUUUACAAAUUAAUUCUACGUUCUGCUACAUUUUUAGCUUUAUUCCCCUAGUUAAAUAACUUUGUAUCUCAAACUUUCUUUUACUUUUCCCUGAAUAAAUUUGAAUUCUUUAAUAAAAACAUUUAAUGAAUAGUCCUAAACUUCUAUUUUUAACACUUUUGCAAGUACUUAUUUAAAACACAAUUUAUAAACAGACUGUAAGGAAAAGAGCUGAUCAAAGUAAUUGAUUAAAGGACAUACAAUGUACAAAAUGAAAUUUUGUAGUUCUAAAAUUGUGCUUUAGGAGUUCCCAUCGUGGCUCAGUGGUUAAUGAAUAUGACUAGGAACCAUGAGGUUGCGGGUUCAAUCCUUGGUCUCACUCAGUGAGUUAAGGAUCCGGCUUUGCCGUGAGCUGUGGUUUAGGUCACAGACACAGCUCUGUGGCUAUGCAUUGCUGUGGCUGUGGCGUAGAGGUCCGAUUAGACCCCUAGCCUGGGAACCUCCAUAUGCUGUAGGAGCGGCCCUAGAAAAGGCAAAAAACAAAAAAAAAUAAAAUAAAAUUGUGUUUUAGACUAACUUGACAUAUGGAAAAUUUAUUUUAAUACAGAUCCUAUUUGAAAUAGGUAAACUUAUGUUCUGUACCUGAAUUAAAAAUAACUGAAAACACCUAUAGUUUUCCAGCAACAGAAAUUAUCAAAUGUUAAAAAAGAAAUCAAUAUGAUUUAUAUGAAUUUCUUAUAUAAAUAUUUUUCAAGAAAUAUAAUGUAAAGAAAAGCAAAAAUGUAGUACAUGUGAUAUUUAGAAUAAAAAAUGUACACAGGUAAAUUAAAAAAAUGAAUUAAGAAUAUACUUAGCACAAUUUUCCAUGUACUUAUUAAGAGAAUAUUUUCUCAUUAAAAAUAUUAUGAUUUACAGUCAGUUGAUGAAGAUUGCACAUAAAUUUGUUGAGACUAAAAUGUUUAUGAGCAAUUUGAAAGAUAUCCUACAGAAAAAUAACACUGACAUAAUAAUAGAGAUGGAUACUCACAGGAAACUACAUAAAGUACAUGAAUAAACAUAGCUACAUACUGAUAUGCAUAAACAUACUAAUAUAUUCACCAGGAAUACUUAUACUGUGUAUUAUUUUAUAAUUAAAGUAAGCAAUUAAAAGAAAAUUUUAAUGUUUCCUUCAAUUUUAAUGUUUCCUUGGAUAUAUAUUUUUAUUUGAAAAAAAUUAGAACAAUAACAAGCAAUUCAUUGAUCAGUAACAUUUCAAAAUGUUUUGAGCUUAAUUUUUUUAUUACCCAUUUUGUUCUAAAAACUAUUUCAGUUUAUAUGAUAAAUUAUAUGUUUACCCUAAGUAUAAAGUAAAUACAAACCAAAUCUCUACUUGGGGAAAUAAAGCUUCACUAAAAAGAUAUUACUGAGGUGGGUAUUAAAAACUGAAUUUAGGGAGUUCCCAUUGUGGCUCAGCAGUAAAGAACCCAACUAGUAUCUGUGAGGAUGAGGGUUAGAUCCUUGGCCUCACUCAGUGGGUUAAGAAGCUGGCGUUGUCUUGAGCUGUGUUGUAGGUCUCAGAUGCAACUUGGAUCUGGCGGAUCUGGCAUAGCUGUGACCGUGGCCUGAAGCUGCAGCUCUGAUUUGACCCCUAUGCUGGGAACUUCCAUAUGCUGCACGUGUGGCCCUAAAAAAGAAAAA